CAGUAGCCGCGGGAAAACGAAGGGGGCUAGCGUUACUCGGAAUUACUGGGCGUAAAGGGCGCGUAGGCGGCACGAUUAGUCAGGCGUGAAAUUCCUGGGCUCAACCUGGGGACUGCGCUUGAUACGGUCGAGCUAGAGGAUGGAAGAGGGUCGUGGAAUUCCCAGUGUAGAGGUGAAAUUCGUAGAUAUUGGGAAGAACACCGGUGGCGAAGGCGGCGACCUGGUCCAUUACUGACGCUGAGGCGCGACAGCGUGGGGAGCAAACAGGAUUAGAUACCCGCGUAGUCCCUGUCUCUUAUAC
rnacentral:rRNA from 1 species